rnacentral:rRNA from 1 species
UACGUAGGGUGCAAGCGUUAUCCGGAUUCACUGGGUUUAAAGGGUGCGUAGGUGGGCAGUUAAGUCAGUGGUGAAAUCUCCGGGCUCAACCCGGAAACUGCCAUUGAUACUAUCUGUCUUGAAUAUCGUGGAGGUAAGCGGAAUAUGUCAUGUAGCGGUGAAAUGCUUAGAUAUGACAUAGAACACCAAUUGCGAAGGCAGCUUACUACCCGAAUAUUGACACUGAGGCACGAAAGCGUGGGGAGCAAACAGG